rnacentral:rRNA from 1 species
UACAGGGGGUGCAAACGUUGCUCGGAAUCAUUGGGCGUAAAGCGCACGUAGGCGGUCUGUUAUGUCGGAUGUGAAAGCCCUUGGCUCAACUGAGGAAGUGCAUCCGAAACUGGCAGGCUAGAGUACUAAAGAGGAUCGCGGAAUUCCCGGUGUAGAGGUGAAAUUCGUAGAUAUCAGGAGGAACACCUAUUGCGAAGGCAGCUCGCUGGGACGUAACUGACGCUGAGACGCGAAAGCGUGGGGAGCAAACAGG